UCGAAACAGCACCACCAGUUGGCGUUCUCAUGAAACGCUGGCCAGCUCUGUUUUCACAAGAACAGAUUUGCCUAGAGUUCAGAAGAAUAGUUGGAAAGGACUUGAAGCAGGGGUUUUAUUCUUCUCUUGAUUUGCAUACUCCCCGUCUUCUGGAAAUGUUUAAAUGCAAAAAAGGAACUGUGGGUGCCAAAUUGUCCUCACUUUUGGAACAAAUGCAGUCACAAGAUCCAACAGAAAAACGCACUGUGGCGCUCCAAGGACUUCCUCAUGUUCUAGGAGACCAUCCUGAGGAGUUUCUCAAAGCAAGCUUUGUAAGUUCUCAUUCUAUUUCUUGCCAUCUCCAACUCUCUUUAACUCAAUCUCUCUCUCUCUCUCUCUGGCUAGCUCUUUCUCUAGCGCCAUAUAUUUUCCCUGUUUCUGAUUAUCUCUCGCUCUAGCCAUCUCCAACUCUUUCUAUGCAUUUAUCUCUGACUCUCUUGCUAUCUCUCUGUGUCUUUGUCUAGCUGUAUCUCAAACUCCCCAUCUCUCUAUAUCUCUAACCAUCUCUAACUAUCUCGCUAACUCUUUUUCUGUCUCUUUUACUCUAUUCAUCUCCUUUUCUCUAGUUGGUUUUCUAACUCGUAUAUAAAUUUAACUCUCUUACCCUAACUCUCUGGCUCUUUUCUCUAUCUCUUUAACCAUCUAUCUUUCUCUAGCCAACUUUUUCUCUCCAUCUCUUUAACUAUCAGUCUCUUUCUCUAUUUGGCUCUUUAACGCAAAAUCAUUUUAACUACCUAGCUAUGUCUUGUCUCUCUUGCUAUCUUUCUAACUCUUACUAUCUUGUCAACUAUAUCUCUGCCUAGCUAACUUUCUCUGUCACUCUUUCUCUGUUGCUCUUUCUCUGUCUCUCGCUCCUGUCUCGCUCUGUCGCUUCUUUAUACUCCUAUUCACCCAUGUGCAGUAUUAAUUGUAUAUUUUGUUAAAUGUACUUUUGAAUUUGUAACACUCCUCUGUUCCUCUCUAGCAGUGGUUCUCAAACUUUUUCAGUCUUAACCUCUAAAAUAACAACUUUAGGCAUUCACGACCCCCAAACAUAAAAUGCAGGUUUACAACGAAGUGUUGAAGUAGCUUUAUGUUUUAUGUUUUUUUUAUUUUAAGAAUACAGGCCUAGAUUAAUUAAUUUUGUAAGCCUUCAAAUGGGAAUCUACAUUUGCCACUCCAUAUAAAACCUUCUUUAAGACGUAUCAUUUUAAAAUUUUCAUUCAUACCUUCUGGGGACCAUCAGAACUCUUUUCGCCCUUACCUCAUAGGUAAGGGUGGGCAAACGGGAUGGUAAAAUGGUCUCUAAUUGAACAGAGAGCUGCAUUAAACUGAGAAAAAGGUGAAAUCACGAUAUGACCAUUUCAUCAAAAAAGCAGAUUGUCACAGAUUUGAGAUCAUGUUUCAAUUAUCACCAAAUUGCUCAGCCCUACUCAUAGGGGUUGAGAAUCACUGCUCUAUAGGAUAGGUUUUAUAUUCCACAAAUGAUUUUCUUAGCUACAUUUUAAAUUUCAAAGAGUGAAUGUUGAGACGACGCAUUGCUCUGGAACCAAACAAUACCAUUUAGUUACUUUAUUCUUUAUUGUAGGACAGCGAUGAGUCUGUAAUGUAGGUUGACCGUGAGCGGCUUGGGGUUCAGUGAGCAAGGUAAAAAACAAAUCCAGACACAGACCGGUACUUGUGGUCCACAGUUUACUUUUGUUUUUUCAAUGAUUACAAAAGUGCAAGUGCAAAAAGUGCAGGGUGCAAACCGGAGGCAGGCAGCAGUUUCCUCUCCAGCAGCAGAACCCAGACUGAUCUUGAAGGCGCCUUUUAUGCCGGUCCUACUGAUUGGAUAAAACCACUAUGCUAAAACAGGGAUGGUUAAAAUUAUCAUUAGCGUAAAAUUAAAACCUAAACCUCCAUAAAACAACCCAAAACCCAGAUAACUAUUAAAACCACCAACUAUAUACAUAAAAACCCUAAAACCAUUACACCAAUUAAAUGUUAAAACCCAUAACCAAUAAAAUACCAAACCUAAAACCCCUGUACAAAAUGUUACACGUGGUCCAGCCCGGAACCAUAAAGAGGGAGCUCGUUUCCGGGGGACUCUUUUCACACCUGGACAGAAGAUAAAAAGGGGAGGUAAGUAAAAGCAGAUCCACCAUUCAUUAAAACACAAUAAAAUACACUAAACACAUCAACACUUAAAACAUUCUAAAACAGAUAUUGCACCAUAUUUAUUGCACAAAGUCAAUUUAAAAUGUAAUUUAUUAUUGUCUCCCUUUUCCUCCAGGGACAAGCAACUUCCAAUUAAAGUGCUGUGCCUCAGGAAUAAAAAAUGGUUAAAGGAAAGCCAAUAAAUAUUUUUUAAAACCAAUUGUGUGCAAUUUAUUUUGUGAUGUGCAAAUAUGUUAAAAGUGCUGUGUGCUAGGAAAGUGUAGUGUUUUAAAGUGCUCUAGUGAAAGGUGAAGGUGCUAAGUGUGGUUCUGGGGUAACAAACCAGCCUGUUUGUUACAGAGUCCUUCGAUCAAACUGACAUUGGAAUCCUGAUGCUCUUUAAAGAAAGUGGAUCCCCAUCUCUUCGACCUUCAAGUCUAAAAAUUGUCAUUGAGGGUCAAGUUGUAAUGGACAAUUUGUCCAACCUCCCAGAGACUAUCUGCCUCCUUUUUGGUCUCACGUACGGACUGCAUCUCGACUAUCCUAAAAGGUUCCGAAAUACACUUUUGUUCAUUCAGCAGGUUUUCUUCUCUUUGGGAAACACUGAGUUGAGGUCAAGAAUUCAAACCCUGAAAAACCAACUACAAGUGUAAGCCAUUUGUGACUAGCUUAUUGUUCCAAAUCAGUUUCAACUAAGAAUGGUUUUAGUUCCAUAAGUUUUGUGAUUAAGCAACCAUUUACUUCAUAUAAAAGUAUCACUUUAUAAAAGAUUGAACUAAAAAGAUCUUAAUUUGUUUGAAAACUUUUUUCCUUUAGUUAUUACAAUUAUAUUUUGAUCAGAACUUUUUUUUUACCUAAUUUGUAGUUUUGCUGGUAAAUGGUUUAAAAAAAAAAAAAAAAAACUUAUGCUGCUAUAUACUGUGUUGUGCAAUACACAAGGUAAAGGUUCAAACUGUUUGUAAAAUCCAACAUAUGUAUUUUAUUUUUGUUGUAUGUUGGUGGCUAAAACGCAAACUAAAAGUUGACUUUUAGUUUGUAAAUUUAUUUGAUUUGCUGCCAUUGCCUUGAUUUUUACAUGAGAAAAAAACUUUUAGAACAGUGUUUUAAAAUGGCACUUUUAAUUAAAAGGUAAAGUUACAGCAAUGUUUAAGACUGUUGUAUUGUACAAUGUUAACUGUAUUCAGAGUUGAAUGCAUUAUUUUUGCAAUAAACAAAAGAAACUUA